GGCUUAGUGGUCUAGUCGUAUGAUUGUUGCUUCGGGUGUUCGCCCAGAUACAGUGUAUCGUGAAUGUGACAGGUCCCGGGUUCAAAUCCCGGCUGAGCCC